UUUAAAUGGCCGCAGUAUAUUGACUGUGCAAAGGUAGCAUAAUAAAUAGUCUUUUAAUUGAAGGCUGGAAUGAAUGAUUGGACGAGAUAUUAACUGUUUCAUAUAAAUUUACAAUAGAAUUUUAUUUUUUAGUCAAAAAGCUAAAAUUAAUUUAAAAGACGAGAAGACCCUAUAAAUCUUUAUAUUUAUUUUAUUAUAAUUUUUUAGAUUAUUUUUGUUUUAAUAUUUUAUAAUAUUUUAUUGGGGUGAUAUUAAAAUUUAAUAAACUUUUAAUUUUAUUAAACAUUAAUUUAUGAAUUUAUUGAUCCAUUAGUAAUGAUUAAAAAUUUAAGUUACUUUAGGGAUAACAGCGUAAUUUUUUUGGAGAGUUCUUAUCGAUAAAAAAGAUUGCGACCUCGAUGUUGGAUUAAGAGAUAAUAUUAGGUG
rnacentral:rRNA from 1 species